rnacentral:rRNA from 1 species
GAGGCAGCAGUGGGGAAUAUUGCACAAUGGGCGCAAGCCUGAUGCAGCCAUGCCGCGUGUGUGAAGAAGGCCUUCGGGUUGUAAAGCACUUUCAGCGGGGAGGAAGGCGAUAAGGUUAAUAACCUUGUCGAUUGACGUUACCCGCAGAAGAAGCACCGGCUAACUCCGUGCCAGCAGCCGCGGUAAUACGGAGGGUGCAAGCGUUAAUCGGAAUUACUGGGCGUAAAGCGCACGCAGGCGGUCUGUCAAGUCGG